rnacentral:rRNA from 1 species
CCCCUAGACGUUCUGGGCUGCACGCGCGCUACAAUAAUACGCACAGCGAGUAUCACCGAGCUCGAAAGGGCAAGGUAAACAAUAGAAAAGGUACUGUAAUGGUUAUAGAUCCUUGUAAUUAUUGAUCUUCAACGAGGAAUUCCUAGUAAGUAUGUGUCAUCAUCACGCACUGAUUACGUCCCUGCCCUUUGUACACACCGCCCGUCGCUCCUACCGAUUGGGUGAGCCGAUAAAACUCUCGGAUGUAGGCUAUUCAUAGCCCGCAGAAGAGAUUUGAAUCGUAGCGCUUAGAGGAAGGAGAAGUCGUAACA